UGCCUAGGUGGGAUUAGCUAGUUGGUGAGGUAAGGGCUCACCAAGGCGACGAUCCCUAGCUGGUCUGAGAGGAUGAUCAGCCACACUGGAACUGAGACACGGUCCAGACUCCUACGGGAGGCAGCAGUGGGGAAUAUUGCACAAUGGGCGCAAGCCUGAUGCAGCCAUGCCGCGUGUGUGAAGAAGGCCUUCGGGUUGUAAAGCACUUUCAGUCGUGAGGAAGGUAGUGUAGUUAAUAGCUGCAUUAUUUGACGUUAGCGACAGAAGAAGCACCGGCUAACUCCGUGCCAGCAGCCGCGGUAAUACGGAGGGUGCGAGCGUUAAUCGGAAUUACUGGGCGUAAAGCGCAUGCAGGUGGUUUGUUAAGUCAGAUGUGAAAGCCCGGGGCUCAACCUCGGAAUUGCAUUUGAAACUGGCAGACUAGAGUACUGUAGAGGGGGGUAGAAUUUCAGGUGUAGCGGUGAAAUGCGUAGAGAUCUGAAGGAAUACCGGUGGCGAAGGCGGCCCCCUGGACAGAUACUGACACUCAGAUGCGAAAGCGUGGGGAGCAAACAGGAUUAGAUACCCUGGUAGUCCACGCCGUAAACGAUGUCUACUUGGAGGUUGUGGCCUUGAGCCGUGGCUUUCGGAGCUAACGCGUUAAGUAGACCGCCUGGGGAGUACGGUCGCAAGAUUAAAACUCAAAUGAAUUGACGGGGGCCCGCACAAGCGGUGGAGCAUGUGGUUUAAUUCGAUGCAACGCGAAGAACCUUACCUACUCUUGACAUCCAGAGAACUUUCCAUAGAUGGAUUGGUGCCUUCGGGAACUCUGAGACAGGUGCUGCAUGGCUG
rnacentral:rRNA from 1 species